UCAGUAUAGGAUGCAACAACAAUCUGUGAAUGUUUGAUGUAGAUUAAAGGAUGUGACAAAUGAAAAUGAUUCUUGGGUCAGGUCAAACAGAAAGUGGGCAGCUGGAACCAUUGUUCCAUUGCCUAUGGGUAGGUGAUAGGACAAAGAACUGUAGAUUUGACCUAUAAAGAGACUGGAUCCAAUAUAUAAUAUUUGUACUAAAUCCCAUAUGUUGCGGUGUAGUGAAUAUGAGCAACAGGAAUUCUGUGAAAUGCGUGUUUAUCAUAUGUGGGUAGAAGGAGGAAUGCAUCCUUGUAAAUGAUGUAAAGAAGCUGUAUGGAG